rnacentral:misc_RNA from 3 species
AACGCACAUUGCGCCCUUUGGUAUUCCGAAGGGCAUGCCUGUUCGAGCGUCAUUAUCACCCCUCAAGCCCUGUGCUUGGUGUUGGAUGGCCGGUCGAGCGAUCGACCCCUCCUAAAGACAAUGACGGCGGCCUGUGGUUCCCCCGGUACACUGAGCUUUUAACUGAGCACGUAUCGGACAAGGGCACCCGGGACCCGGUCCUCUCCUUUAACUAGGAAACUUCUAAGGUUGACCUCGGAUCAGGUAGGAAUACGCGCUGAACUUAA